GAGCACCUCAUCAGCCGUCUCUCCCAGCAGCAGCAGCUGGACUGCCGCGAUAUCACCGACCACGCCGUCUCCAAGUUCAAGAAAGUCAUAUCGAUUCUCAACCGCACCGGCCACGCCCGCUUCCGCCGCAGCCCCACGGCGCCGCCACCUGCGGAGCCGUCGGUCGAGCCGUCGCUCCCCGAAGCAGCGAAGACCCUGACCCUCGCCCCGAUCCCGCUCCGGGUAAAGCCUCCCCACCAUCCUCUGCCGCCACCUUCCCGACCGUUGACACUGGACUUCACCGAGCCGGUCGCCACCUGCGAGGUGUCGGCACCGAGCCGGUUCAGCAAGGAGUGCUUCAGCAUCUCGAAGCCGAUGUCUUCGGCGACAUCCUCGUUCAUGUCGUCCGUCACCGGCGAC
rnacentral:lncRNA from 1 species